rnacentral:rRNA from 2 species
GGGUGCGAUCAUACCAGCACUAAUGCACCGGAUCCCAUCAGAACUCCGCAGCUAAGCGUGUUUGGGUGAGAGUAGUACUAGGAUGGGUACGGUGACCUCCCGGGAAGUCCUCAUGCAGUGGAUUUU